GGGAAUGUGGCUUAAUGGUAGAGUGCUUGCCUUGCAUGCAUGAAGUUCAAUUCCU
rnacentral:tRNA from 1 species